CCUACGGGAGGCUGCAGUGAGGAAUAUUGGUCAAUGGGCGAGAGCCUGAACCAGCCAAGUCGCGUGAGGGAGUACUGCCCUAUGGGUUGUAAACCUCUUUUGUCGGGGCGCAAAAGCCGGACGUGUCCGGCUGUGGGCGUACCCGAAGAAAAAGCAUCGGCUAACUCCGUGCCAGCAGCCGCGGUCAUUCGGGGGAUGCGAGCGUUAUCCGGAUUUUUUGGGUUUAAAGGGUGCGCAGGCGGGUUUUUAAUUCAGCGGUAAAAUCGUGGGGCUCAACCCCAUCCAGCCGUUGAAACUGGGGAUCUGGAGGGUGCGAGAGGUAUGCGGAAUGCGUGGGGUAGCGGUGAAAUGCA
rnacentral:rRNA from 1 species